rnacentral:rRNA from 1 species
CCUACGGGAGGCUGCAGUGGGGAAUAUUGGGCAAUGGAGGCAACUCUUACCCAGCAAUGCCGCGUGAAUGAAGAAGGUCUUCGGAUUGUAAAGUUCUUUAAUUGGGGACGAAAAAAAUGACGGUACCCAAGGAAUAAGCCCCGGCUAACUACGUGCCAGCAGCCGCGGUAAUACGUAGGGGGCAAGCGUUGUUCGGAAUGACUGGGCGUAAAGGGUGUGUAGGCGGGGUAGCAAGUUAGAAGUGAAAUACCUAGGGCUUAACUCAGGUGCUGCUUCUAAAACUGCUAUACUUGAGUGCAGUAGAGGAAAGUGGAAUUCCUAGUGUAGCGGUGGAAUGCGGAGAUAUUAGGAGGAACAUCAGUGGCGAAGGCGACUUUCUGGACUGUAACUGACGCGGAGGCACGAAAGUGUGGGGAGCAAACAGGAUUAGAUACCCCAGUAGUC